rnacentral:rRNA from 1 species
GGCUGAAAUUCGCCUUCAUGAAGUUGGAAUUGCUAGUAAUGGCAGGUCAGCAUACUGCCGUGAAUACGUUCCCGGGCCUUGUACACACCGCCCGUCACACCAUGAGAGUUGGAAAUACCCGAAGCCUGUGAGCUAACUUAAAGAGGCAGCAGUCGAAGGUAGAGCCAAUGAGUUGGGGUGAAGUCGUAACAAGGUACC